rnacentral:tRNA from 1 species
ACUUCCGUAGUUCAAAGGUUAGAACGGGCGACUUAUAAUCGUCUGAUGGUGGUUCAAGUCCACCCGGAAGUACCA